rnacentral:lncRNA from 1 species
GAAUACAGAUUAUAUUUAACUGAAAAUGCCCUCUUGCUCCUGCUGGUUCCCAUAGAAGGGGGAGAGACAGUAUUUUGAAAAGAUCACUCAGAAUCAUCAGUGUUCAUAGGUUACAUCUAAAACAAAGUAAACAGUGUGUGAUGUCCUCUCAACAGACACAAACCUGAUGACAAAAUGUAGAUUUGCCUGGUGUAGUUCAUCUAGAAUAUCAGAGAUUUUUUUUUUCUCUGAAGAGUGUAUUAUCACUUGAUUUCCAUAAAUAUUUGAUAUAUUCAUAUUCCCAAGUUUUCAUUUGUCCACUGCCUAAGCAGAUGGCUAAUAGUAUAAAAACUUGGAACUUAUUAAAAUUUCUGAAUCCCGAGCCAUUUUGCUUUAUUUUGAAGAGCAAAUUGAGUAUUUGAGUGUUUUAAGUCUAAGUGUGUAAUUCUUUCCACCUUGAUUAGAUAUUUAAAUUCUGUUCUAGAUGAACUAGUGAAAUCACAAUCAUGGAAAAGUUAAGAAAGAAGGCAAGAUCGGGCCUUUUAAAGAAAAAAGUCACUUAUGCCUCAGGAGGAGGUUCUGAGCCUCGGACUGCAUCUCAAGAGCGAGUCUUUGCUGAUUUGCUGAGUGUCUCUAUUGAAUGGUCGCUCUGUCCCUCUACCACGCUUCUCCUCUCUUCUCAGAUUGCUACCUACCAACCUGAAAUCAUCUGCCUGUGACCAAGAAGACGAGAGUCAACUUCAGGUUUCUUAAGCAAAAGAACAUUAAUAACCUCAAAAUUAUUAUCCAACCAGUCAAUUCUAAAGAAAAUCAGUCCUGAAUAUUCAUUGGAAGGACUGCUGCUGAAGCUGAAACUCCAAUGCUUUAGCCAUCUGAUGCGAGGAACUGACUCACUGGAAAAGGCCCUGAUGCUGGGAAAGAGUAAAGGCAGGAGAAGAAGGGGACGACAGAACAUGAGAUGAUUGGACGGCAUCACUGACUCAAUGGACAUGAGUCUGAGCAAGCUCCAGGAGUUGGUGAUGGACAGGGAAGCUUGGCAUGCUACGGUUCAUGGGGUUGCAAAGAGUAGGACAUGACUGAGUGACUGAACUGAACUGAACCUCAAAACAUAGCACAUGAAACAGUCCCUUGGUGCCCUGAGACCUUCCCUAAGCACUUUUUAAUUUUCUCUAGUUCCACAGAAUAAGAAGGCACCCUGUCUCUCUAGGGUUCCAGUUCCUUGGCUGUGUAAAACAGUCUAUGAUUCAGGGACGGUGAAUAGAAUUCAACACUCUGUAUUGCCUAGAGUCCUUAAAAACUAUAAGUUCAUUUCAUUUUUGCAUGUUUCUUAAUUGAAAGACAAUUCAAAGGGGGAAAAAAAAAUGUUGGAAAGGGCUUGGCUUGCCAAUGGGUGAGCUGUACCUUUGCUUUCAUGGCAUAGCAAGAGAAUGCUGGGGGCCUUACCUGGUUCUGCCAUUUUGCUAUCAAAAAAUAAAUCCCAUUCUGUUCAGUUUGCA